rnacentral:rRNA from 1 species
UUAAAUUGAAGAGUUUGAUCAUGGCUCAGAUUGAACGCUGGCGGCAGGCCUAACACAUGCAAGUCGAACGGUAACAGGAAGCAGCUUGCUGCUUUGCUGACGAGUGGCGGACGGGUGAGUAAUGUCUGGGAAACUGCCUGAUGGAGGGGGAUAACUACUGGAAACGGUGGCUAAUACCGCAUAACGUCGCAAGACCAAAGAGGGGGACCUUCGGGCCUCUUGCCAUCAGAUGUGCCCAGAUGGGAUUAGCUAGUUGGUGAGGUAACGGCUCACCAAGGCGACGAUCCCUAGCUGGUCUGAGAGGAUGACCAGCCACACUGGAACUGAGACACGGUCCAGACUCCUACGGGAGGCAGCAGUGGGGAAUAUUGCACAAUGGGCGCAAGCCUGAUGCAGCCAUGCCGCGUGUAUGAAGAAGGCCUUCGGGUUGUAAAGUACUUUCAGCGGGGAGGAAGGUGUUGUGGUUAAUAACCGCAGCAAUUGACGUUACCCGCAGAAGAAGCACCGGCUAACUCCGUGCCAGCAGCCGCGGUAAUACGGAGGGUGCAAGCGUUAAUCGGAAUUACUGGGCGUAAAGCGCACGCAGGCGGUCUGUCAAGUCGGAUGUGAAAUCCCCGGGCUCAACCUGGGAACUGCAUUCGAAACUGGCAGGCUUGAGUCUUGUAGAGGGGGGUAGAAUUCCAGGUGUAGCGGUGAAAUGCGUAGAGAUCUGGAGGAAUACCGGUGGCGAAGGCGGCCCCCUGGACAAAGACUGACGCUCAGGUGCGAAAGCGUGGGGAGCAAACAGGAUUAGAUACCCUGGUAGUCCACGCCGUAAACGAUGUCUACUUGGAGGUUGUGCCCUUGAGGCGUGGCUUCCGGAGCUAACGCGUUAAGUAGACCGCCUGGGGAGUACGGCCGCAAGGUUAAAACUCAAAUGAAUUGACGGGGCCCGCACAAGCGGUGGAGCAUGUGGUUUAAUUCGAUGCAACGCGAAGAACCUUACCUGGUCUUGACAUCCACAGAACUUUCCAGAGAUGGAUUGGUGCCUUCGGGAACUGUGAGACAGGUGCUGCAUGGCUGUCGUCAGCUCGUGUUGUGAAAUGUUGGGUUAAGUCCCGCAACGAGCGCAACCCUUAUCCUUUGUUGCCAGCGAUUAGGUCGGGAACUCAAAGGAGACUGCCAGUGAUAAACUGGAGGAAGGUGGGGAUGACGUCAAGUCAUCAUGGCCCUUACGACCAGGGCUACACACGUGCUACAAUGGCGCAUACAAAGAGAAGCGACCUCGCGAGAGCAAGCGGACCUCAUAAAGUGCGUCGUAGUCCGGAUUGGAGUCUGCAACUCGACUCCAUGAAGUCGGAAUCGCUAGUAAUCGUGGAUCAGAAUGCCACGGUGAAUACGUUCCCGGGCCUUGUACACACCGCCCGUCACACCAUGGGAGUGGGUUGCAAAAGAAGUAGGUAGCUUAACCUUCGGGAGGGCGCUUACCACUUUGUGAUUCAUGACUGGGGUGAAGUCGUAACAAGGUAACCGUAGGGGAACCUGCGGUUGGAUCACCUCCUUACCUGAAAGAA